AAUUUUGGACAAUGGGGGAAACCCUGAUCCAGCCAUCCCGCGUGUAUGAUGAAGGCCUUCGGGUUGUAAAGUACUUCUGGCAGAGAAGAAAAGGUAUCCCCUAAUACGGGAUACUGCUGACGGUAUCUGCAGAAUAAGCACCGGCUAACUACGUGAUAGCAGCCGCGGUAAUACGUAGGGUGCAAGAGAUAAGCGGAAUUACUGGGCGUAAAGCGUGUGUAGGCGGUUCGGAAAGAAAGAUAUGACAACCCAGGGCUCCACCUUGGAACUGCAUUUUUAACUGCCAGACUAGAGUAUGUCAGAGGGGGGUAGAAUUCCACGUGUAGCAGUGAAAUGCGUAGAUAUGUGGAGGAAUACCGAUGGCGAAGGCAGCCCCCUGGGAUAAUACUGACGCUCAGACACGAAAGCGUGGGGAGCAAACAGG
rnacentral:rRNA from 1 species